rnacentral:rRNA from 1 species
UACGUAGGGGGCGAGCGUUGUCCGGAGUUACUGGGCGUAAAGCGCUUGUAGGCGGUCCACCAAGUUUGGGGUGACAGUUGCCGACUUAAUCGGCAAAGUGCCUCAAAGACUGGCGGACUUGAGGGCCACAGAGGGACAUGGAACUCCAGGUGUAGUGGUGAAAUGCGUAGAUAUCUGGAAGAACACCAAAGGCGUAGGCAGUGUCCUGGGUGGUCGCUGACGCUGAGAGGCGAAAGCCAGGGGAGCGAACGGG